AAGUCAUAACAAGGUUUCCGUAGGUGAACCUGCGGAAGGAUCAUUACGAGUUGUAUCUCUUCAGAGACACUUCCACCCUUGACAAUUUACCUCUUGCUUGGCCUUUCGAGGCCAACAUUCUUUCUGAAGCAGUUGUCUGAAGCAGAUCAAAUUAAGAAAA
rnacentral:misc_RNA from 1 species